rnacentral:lncRNA from 1 species
GCAAAGCCAAAUAAGCCAAAUAAAAGUGGGAGAAAAGUUAUUUAGCGAACUAAAAAACUUCAUAAUUACAUUGUAAUACAAAAUAUGUUAGGGCAUUGGAGGAGACUAAAGAGGUAUAUUAAUUUUAAUUUAUUAUUUUUUUAGUAUGAUAUUGUGUUUAUUGUAUUGUUUUUUAUUUAUUUUAUUAUUUUUUAUUUUGAUUAUAUUAUAUUAUUUAUCAUUAAAUAUCAUUAUAUUUCUUCUCCAUGAUGUCUAAGCGAAUUUAGAGUUAGCAAAUAUCUAUAGUUAAAGAGAAAUCACUAGUUUAUUUUUUAAAAAUUACUUUAUUUAUUAAUAUUUUGUAGCUUUGAAAAUUUUUGUUUUAAUAAAUUUUGUAUGACUUUAGUGAUAGGAAACCUUUUUAGAUAAUUAAUUUAGAUCUCAUCUAUUUCAUUGAUUACCAUACUCUAUCGAUAUUUAUUUUCUAUUUUUUUAAAAUUGAAAGUAAUUUCAUACUGUCAAUGCAUUUAAUAUACAUGCAAAGCAGAGUUUCAUUUAAGAGGUAUAUGUUUUUGUCUGUGAGUCAGAGAGUGUGUUAUACUAUUUAUAAUAGAAAAAAAAAGAAAGUAUGUUAUGCCAUUUGCGAUAGUAAAACAUAUACUUCCACAUACUAAUAUAGGAUAGAACAUAGCUUGGGCUUGUAUUUAUUGUACAAAUAUAAAAAAGCCCUUUAAGUCCCACCUUCUUUCAUGAAAGAGAAUUACAAUUAGUUAUCGAACUUUUCAUCUAUAGUUAGAGAAAAUUACAAUUAAUUAUCGAACUUUUCAUGUACAGUAACAGUUUGGUGCAGAAGAUUAAUAAGUUUGCUAUUUUUAUUUGUCAGGUUGCGAACUCGAUUUCUAUCAGCUCGAUUUCUAUCAGCUCGAUUCCUAUCAAAAUUCGGGCAUUCCUAUCAAAAUAUUCGGGCUUUCUAUUUUGACCCUUCGAACCAAACUUUGUUGAUCCUUCGAAUCAUACUUUGAAAAUUCCGAUAUAGCACCAAACUUUGAAGACAUUAAUGUGGUUCUCAGAUAUUGGACAAUUCCGACCUUGGAUAUUGCACAUUUUUGGAUAUAGCAGUUUUACUUUUCACUUUUCCUACUGGACUUUGGAAAAGCAUUAAGAAUCCAUUUGAUUCAUAUCCGAAAAGUCCAAAAUCAUCUACCUUUUUUUCUAUAUUCAAAAGAUAAACCACAAACAAUUUUUAAGAAAUAAUGGACAAUAAUUG